rnacentral:rRNA from 1 species
UGGGGAAUAUUGGACAAUGGGGGCAACCCUGAUCCAGCAAUGCCGCGUGUGUGAAGAAGGCCUUCGGGUUGUAAAGCACUUUCGGUGGGGACAAACAAGGCGGAGCUAACAUCUCCGUCCCUGAUGGUACCCAAAGAAGAAGCACCGGCUAACUCUGUGCCAGCAGCCGCGGUAAUACAGAGGGUGCGAGCGUUAAUCGGAAUUACUGGGCGUAAAGCGUGCGUAGGUGGUUUGUUAAGUCAGGUGUGAAAGCCCGGGGCUCACCCCCGGAAGUGCACUGGAUACUGGCGAGCUCGAGUCCCGGAGAGGAGGGUGGAAUUCCUGGUGUAGCGGUGAAAUGCGUAGAUAUCAGGAGGAACACCGGCGGCGAAGGCGGCCCUCUGGACGGUGACUGACGCUGAGACGCGAAAGCGUGGGGAGCAAACAGGAUUAGAUACCCUGGUAGUCCACGCUGUAAACGAUGAGCACUAGGUGUCGCGGGUAUUGACCCCUGCGGUGCCGUCGCAAACGCAUUAAGUGCUCCGCCUGGGGAGUACGGUCGCAAGAUUA